rnacentral:sRNA from 1 species
UGAAGAUGCCAGGCGUGCAGCGGAGCCCUCCUUAGGUGGCUUACCUCAGACUAUCAGUGGUGACAGUGGGGGAAUGUCAGCAGUUUCAGAUGGGAGUAGCAGCAGCCUAGCAGCCUCUGCUUCUCUUUUCCCGUUGAAGGUGCUACCGCUGACGACACCCCUGGUGGAUGGCGAGGAUGAGAGUGCUUCUCUCCUACCAGAGGUGCAAGGAGUGAUCCUAGAACCACAGAUACAGCCAAGACCACGGAGAGCUUUUGACGUCAGGGGUCCACUUUCUCCACUGAACCCUUGGAGACAGAAUAUCCAGCUUCUGGAGAGAGUGGGAAAGGAUAAUAAACAAAUUUCUUUCAACUGGUAAAACAUCAUACUUCUUCAGCAAAAGGAAUUCUUCUAGCAGAGCCUUCAUGGAUGAUAUCUGUCACACAUGCCAGCACCUGCAGUUUGGAAGGCAGUGGUGAAUGGAUCCAUGCAAUAUGUCUAGAAGACACAAGGAUGAGCCAGCCACCUGAUCUUGUCAUUUAUAAACUUUUAAGAAUUACUCUGGUUUACUUUUGGUCUGAAAAUGGAAAGGCCCAAAUAAUGAAAUAAUCUUUUCAGAUUGGAAUUUUACAUGGCCAUGAAAAUAUUUCUUUCUAUUCAGAAGACUGAAAUAGAGGAAGCUUGAGAGACUCCUUUCUUUUAAAAGCGGCUCUCUGUAUCUGUUUCAUUUAAAACAUUUGUGGGAUUGAAAAUCACCUUAAUGAAGUAGGCAAACAUUUUUUUAAGUAGUAGAGGAAGUCCAGAAAACUUAAUGAAAUGGUUUUUUUUGUUGCCUGACACUGAAAGUAACUAGUAAAUAAAGGGUGAACUUCUUAAUUAUUCGAAAACUGCUUUUAAUAUUAGGAUAUACUCUUUUAGCUCAUC